rnacentral:sRNA from 1 species
UUGAAUUUUCCGUCAAACAACAUAAAUAAGCGCCCUAAAAGAUUACAGUAAACAAAGACGGUGGAAAAAUGUCACAGCCACAGGGCAGGAUUUACAAUGAUACGACCCAAAGGAACAAUAAGUUGUGGCCCCUGAUAUCGGAAUUAUGUUCAGACCUUCAUGAAUCUAAGCCAUCACCGAUCCAUCAUCAACUGGUCAAUAACGCCAUGGAAUAUAUUACACAAUGUCCUAGCGCCUUGUCCAAGGCCAUGCCAU